GGACAAUGUAUCAUCGCCUGUUCGGAAGUAUUCUAGAGGAAACAGGUAGUAUUUCCUUCCCCAAGCACCAAAGUGGGGUUUCCGACACCGGUGAAUAUGCUGGAUGCCUCAGGGCGGAGCCCGACCUGGGGCCGGGGGGCGGGCCGUGCGAGCGGCGCGCGCAAUAAAGCGGAAGGUGCAGCAACUCGCACACGCGGUGGAGAAAGUGAGGGUUGGGUGUGUCUUCAAGCUGAGGGCCCACCCGCCUUGGUAAGAACCCUUGCUCCCAGUCCCUGACCCACCCAGGUCUAAAAUAUCUCACCCUCACUUGGGGUGACUUCACAUCAGAUAUCUCUGGGACCUAAUUUUAUAUGCCAGCAAUCAUGCAAAUCCCAGCUCUGUUCUUGGGCUUAGGGAUGUUAGUCAAGUGAUUGGUCUCCUGAGCCUCAGUUUCUGUGUCUGUAGAGUGGGCACAACGCAUCAAAGGUAAGGGUUGAAUGUGACGGAAUACAUGGGCUGUAGAAGAGGAAAAUAUUUAGUUGCUUUUUGGUGUCCGUGGGGGAGU
rnacentral:lncRNA from 1 species